rfam:TPA: Bos taurus chromosome 21, whole genome shotgun sequence.
UCCCUGGCAGUCCAGUGGUUAGGACUCAGCACUUUCACUGCCACGGCCCAGGCUCAAUCCCUGGUCAGGAAA